GUAGAAAGAGGCAGAAGUGAGGUGCAGUGCUUCCGAGCAGGCCGGAGAAGAUCAACCCCUUGGUCUUGCAAUCUCCAUCUAACUUCAUUUUUGAACACUCAUACACGUAGUCUGAAUGUUACAAAGGAGACCACGUGCACUGCUGGGACUGUAUCGGAUCCUCACAACCGCCUGUGCUACCUGAAUACCGGCACACAUGUGCAGUUGGGGGCGUCUCUAUAUGGCUUUGUAGGUUUAUUCUAAAUUCCUGUUUCAACUGAGCCCUACUGGAGAUAGUUUUGUUAAAGCAUGUAACUGUUUGUAUUUGUACUUUUGAAGAUAAAAAAGAAAGAAAGCUGUUUAACACUUGCCUGGUGUUGAAAAUAAAACUACCUCAUAUAAACAGAUGUACAUUUGUACUUAAAACAAACAAACAAACAAACAAGAGCUAUCAAGGAUUAUUAAGUAAAUUAAAUUACUAGAAUGGCCCUGGCUCUUUGUGGGGCUGUGUUGCUAAAUGAUAUAUCUUUGGUAUUACUAAUAUUCAUCACACUUGAGUUGAAUCAGAUCAGAUAUAAUGAAAGAUAUACAGAGAUCUUGACAUAACACUGUAUCCACUUGCAAGUUCAAAUCCAAUUCCUUGCAGCAGUCUUAAUUAGAGUAAUGUUUAAAGAAAGCAAAGUGACAUGUGGUUUCCUUAUACAUUAUUUAUUAUGCAUUAAAAUAAGUGGCUGGCUUAUCAUCUGUCUUUGCCUUAUAUCAUCUUGACUCCCUUAUUUUCUGGUUCUAUGGGUCAGUAAACACUUGAUUUCAGUGUUUCUCCAGGCACAGCUGUUAAUGUCUUCAGCUCACUGUACCCAUGUCAGAUGUGUUUUGGCAAAACUGGAAUUCUAGUAAGGGUGUUUAAAUUUUAAAUCGUCAAUGUCUAAAAUGUUAUGCUUUUGAUUAGCCUUAAAAGUAGCUCAACACAAUGUUAUUUAUUUAUGUCAAAUGUUUAAAAAAAUAAGAUAUUUUUGUUUUGGAGCUUGACUGACACUUGCAAUUCUGAGCAUAUUUUUUUGUCUAUUGAUAGCUGACAAUAUGCCCUUCAAACAAAAAUAAAUCAUAAACCACGAAGAGCAAAGACACUUGUUUUUGUAGAAGAGUCUGAUAGAACUAGAGCUGACA